UCUAAAUUGCCAGUUUUGCAAAAAAGAAGCAAAAAGUAGUUGACACUCAUAACAGAUCUUGUAUAAAGACGUGUACCAAAUUGGGAGACCAGGGCUCAGUCUACAUCUGAGGUUUGAUUUAACUCAGGAGCUGGAUUGGCUUAAAACUAGUGUUCUGACUUCAUAGAGCACCAUAUCAAUGGCCAAAGUUCGAAACCUUGUAUCUCCAUUGGCGGCGUUGCGGACUCCAUGGUUUACUUAACUUUUUUUUUUUUGAACACUAGUCAACGCGUCAAAAUUCUAUGAACAUUUCAAAUUUCAGAUGGAUCAGAGUGACCUAUAGUCAGAGUUGCCACAGAAUUUAAAUAAUUAAAGUCACUGACAAAGUUGGAUCAAGUUUUCUGACAUUUAACGAUAUGCCGGAUAGUUAAAAAUCAACAACUCUACACCCAAAAAUGCAAUAUUUGCCAUUAGAAACAGUAAAAAAAUUUGAGAGAACGAAAAAUGUAAUUUAGCGAUUUUUUUCAAGACACUUUUCCCUCACAUUUCCUGAUUUUCACUUUUAAAUUUCCCUGACCUUUUCCAGUUCUUCCUCAGUGUGGCAACCCAAUAAAAUGUAUUUAUAAGUCGUUUCA